CUCCCCUACGGGACGCAGCAGUGGGGAAUAUUGCACAAUGGGGGAAACCCUGACGCAGCAACGCCGCGUGAGUGAAGAAGUAUUUCGGUAUGUAAAGCUCUAUCAGCAGGGAAGAAGAUGACGGUACCUGAUUAAGAAGCCCCGGCUAACUACGUGCCAGCAGCCGCGGUAAUACGUAGGGGGCAAGCGUUAUCCGGAUUUACUGGGUGUAAAGGGAGCGCAGACGGCAGUGCAAGUCUGGAGUGAAAGCCCGGGGCCCAACCCCGGAACUGCUCUGGAAACCUUG
rnacentral:rRNA from 1 species